AUGUGGACGCCACGCCCCUACAGGAAGGAAAGGAGAGAGAGAGUGUGUGUGGAUGGAUGUGUGUUGAGAGAGAGAAUGGAUGUGUGUGUGUUUACGAAUAAACUUGGAGGGGAGGGGGCAACAGGGGUGGGUUUUCGGGCUGAGAAAUGGGAACACUGUGGGGCUGCUGCAAGCAGGACUUGGGCCUUAAACAUUCCAGGAGAGUGUUCUCGGGAGUAGCCCCGGGAAGGACUUUAACAGAGGUUGGGAAUUACAUCUCUGGCACAGUUUUGCAAGCAGAGGGGGAGCUUAGUUAAAGGAGCAAAGAAUGCAAGUGGAAGAUGCCAGCAUCUCGGUCUGGAAAGGAUUUAUUAACUAGUUGAAGAGGGCUGGUGGAUUAAAACACUCAGCACCCUAAGAAGCUUGGGAGAUUCGAUUAUUAUGUUGCGCUUUAGACAGGAGGGCAGGAGAAAGGGCGUUCUUUUCUCGAUUUCUUAGAAGAGUCUCCGGUUACUUUUCUGUGGUGAGAACGGGUUAACACAGAAAUCUGCCUCCUGGGCCAUGCCGCUUCUAAGGCCUGUUUCUUCUCAUGAGCCCCAGCACAAGACAGAUGGGCCAGUUCUCACAGUGGAUAACUUCCCCUGCCUGAGCAAGAGAUGGGAUAGUAUCUGGGAUCUGUCCAUCACCAGACUCUGAGCUUAAUAAGGCAGCUGAAUGAAGGGAGGUAACGGACCCCUGAGAGGGGCACUGAAGUCUGCAGUGGGGG
rnacentral:lncRNA from 1 species